AUAAAUAAAUAAAUAUUUUUUCUAGAGUUGGAAUGAUAUAGAGAAGAUUAGCAUGGUCCCUGCACAAGGAUGACAUACAAAUUCGUGAAGCGUUCCAUAUUAAA
rnacentral:snRNA from 1 species